AUUGAACGCUGGCGGCAGGCUUAACACAUGCAAGUCGAGCGAGCGGCGGACGGGUGAGUGAUGUCUGGGAAACUGCCUGAUGGAGGGGGAUAACUACUGGAAACGGUAGCUAAUACCGCAUACCAUCAGAUGUGCCCAGAUGGGAUUAGCUAGGAGGUGGGGUAAUGGCUCACCUAGGCGACGAGCCCUAGCUGGGCUGAGAGGAUGAACAGCCACCCUGGAACUGAGACACGGUCCAGACUCCGACGGGAGGCAGCAGUGGGGAAUAGUGCACAAUGGGCGCAAGCCUGAUGCAGCCAUGCCGCGUGUGUGAAGAAGGCAUUCGGGUUGUAAAGCACUGUUAGCGAGGAGGCGUUACUCGCAGAAGAAGCACCGGCUAACUCCGUGCCAGCCGCCGCGGUAAUUC
rnacentral:rRNA from 1 species